rnacentral:rRNA from 1 species
GGAAUACGAUAUGUAGCGGUGAAAUGCAUAGAUAUAUCGUAGAACACCGAUUGCGAAGGCAGCUUACUAAGCCAAUAUUGACGCUGAUGGACGAAAGCGUGGGGAGCGAACAGGAUUAGAUACCCUGGUAGUCCACGCCGUAAACGAUGAUUACUCGUUGUGCGCGAUACACAGUGCGCGACUGAGCGAAAGCAUUAAGUAAUCCACCUGGGGAGUACGUUGGCAACAAUGAAACUCAAAGGAAUUGUCGGGGGCCCGCACAAGCGGAGGAACAUGUGGUUUAAUUCGAUGAUACGCGAGGAACCUUACCUGGGCUUAAAUGCAGUUUGACCGAUCUGGAAACGGAUCUUCUCUUCGGAGCAAAUUACAAGGUGCUGCAUGGUUGUCGUCAGCUCGUGCCGUGAGGUGUCGGGUUAAGUCCCAUAACGAGCGCAACCCCUAUCGUUAGUUGCUAGCAGGUAAUGCUGAGGACUCUAGCGAGACUGCCACCGUAAGGUGAGAGGAAGGUGGGGAUGACGUCAAAUCAGCACGGCCCUUACGUCCAGGGCUACACACGUGUUACAAUGGCUAGUACAAAGGGCAGCUACCUGGUGACAGGAUGCUAAUCUCAAAAGCUAGUCUCAGUUCGGAUCGGAGUCUGCAACUCGACUCCGUGAAGUUGGAUUCGCUAGUAAUCGUAUAUCAGCAAUGAUACGGUGAAUACGUUCCCGGGCCUUGUACACACCGCCC